CUGAACUGUCAACACGAGUUGUUGCUGGUCCUCAAAUGGGGGCAUGUGCACACUCUGUUUACAUACCCACUCACACCUGUGCACCCUCUGUAGUUCUAUGGUGUGGGGGACUCUGUCUUCCCACUGUGGUUCUAUGUCUUUACACACACACACACAGUGAUAAAGUCUCAUGGAAUGUACAUCGCGUUUAACGCAAUACAAUA
rnacentral:misc_RNA from 1 species